rnacentral:rRNA from 1 species
GACGAACGCUGGCGGCGUGCUUAACACAUGCAAGUCGAACGGACAGGCCAUGUCGUUGCUCCUCGGACGUUAGCCGCGUGCGUGAGAGUAACGUGUGGAGACCCUCCCUAUAGGACUGGGAUAACUACGUGAAUCUGGUGCUAAUACGGGAUGAUCUCUUGAACCGCAGGGGGCAAUAGUUAAAGGCGGUGGUUGUGUCAGUUAUAGAUGGAUCCGCGCGUGAUGAGCUAGUUGGUAAGGUAACGGCUUAGCAAGGGAACGAUGCGUAUCCGAGGUGAGAGCGGGAUGGGCGACACAGGAACUGAGCCGCGGUCAAGAGUCCUACGGGAGGCCGCAGUAGGGAAUGGUGGGCACUGGGGGGAAGACUGAAGGAGCAGCGCCGCGCGAGUGCUGAAGGUCCUCGGAUCGUAAAACUGUGUUAUUGGGGAAGAACCCAUGUGUCAGGAACUAUGCGCGUCGUGACGGUACCUAAUCAAAAAGCACCGGCUAACUACGUG